UAAUAAAAAAUAAUUGUUUCGUAUAAAUUCUCUAAUAUGGUGAGAAAGUCUCUACCCUGUAACCGUAAAAUACAGGACUACGAUUUUAUAGUAUAAU
rnacentral:ncRNA from 1 species